GACGAACUGUCCAAACGUUGUUCGGAAUCACUGGGCUUAAAGGGUGCGUAGGCGGUCUGGUAAGUCUGGGGUGAAAUCCUGCAGCUCAACUGCAGAAGUGCCUUCGAUACUGCCAGUCUGGAGGGAGAUAGGGGUGUGCGGAACUUCCAGUGGAGCGGUGAAAUGCGUUGAUAUUGGAAGGAACGCCGGAGGCGAAAGCGGCGCACGGGAUCUCUUCUGACGCUGAGGCACGAAAGCUAGGGGAGCAAACGGG
rnacentral:rRNA from 1 species